AGACAUGGGGGGGAGAAAGAGAGAGAAUGACGCUGCGUUGAGUCACUUAACGUCUGAUUUCUCAGCUUUAGCCCUCAGUGUUAGCAUGUUGUUAAUUUCGUCUUUUUAAUAGCUUGUUGUCUUUAUGUUUUAAUAAACUAAACCUUCACCGACCUGUCAGGACCAUGGACACAGUGAGCAAACCCGGGGAGGUGCAGGAGUCAGGCUUACAGAUAGAGGGUGAUAAUGAAGAUCAAACUCCCCAGAACAAGGCUACUGAGCUGUGUGACUGUUUUCAUGGCUCCCUCCAGGACAAAGAAAACAGUCCGAUGAUGAGAACUGUGUUGUGUGCACAGGUGUGUAAGGUGUACCGGUUUCAGACGGAGGAUCACAGGUGGCUGCUGGUUAAGGAGCAGAUGUCGGAGACGCCGUUGUCUUUCUCGUUACCCAAACGCCUGCUGAACAUGCUCUUGGAUGAGCACGCAAGCAGAAUCCAGGAGGUGAAGGACCUCGGUGACCUUUCACCCUACUGGGAAGGGCUCCGACAUGAUGUCAUCAGUCACUGUAGCGGCUUGAUUGACUGUUAUCAGGAAAUGCUAGCGAAGCUCAAUAACCUCUCAGCAUCAUCGUGUUUCAAACCCAGCAGCAGUCGGUCAGACAGCCACCUUCAGUUUAUUCCUACCAACCUGCACUCACAGAGGAUGGAGGUCACCAGUCCAGACUGCACAGGUGUUUGGUACAACGUGAUAACGUUUGGUGCUCCGGCUGAUCACUACCAGGCCUUCAAACAUGGCGGACUGAAGCGACUGCUCAGCAAAUAUACAAACCCCACAGACAGCUCGCCGUCUUACUCCCAGGAUGAGGGCUGCAGGUGCAGGGAGCUGCUGGCCAGCGUGACCCAGCUGCAGCCUCUGGUGUUCGGGCUCGCUGAGGAGCUCCUGGACGUGUCUCUGGAGCUGGACGCUGAGCGGCUGCAGCAGGUGCUGGACAGCUUGUCUCAACAGAUAGAGCAGUUUGCUCAUGCACUCCAAGAUGAGCUGGUAAGCCGGACCCUGCUUACAAUACACAACCAAAGUUCCGCCCCCAGCAACAGGAUGCUGUGUGAUGAUUCGAUUGCCAGUCAGGAAGGACAGACGUACCAGGACACGAGCCAGCCUGAUGUGGAGUGCAGUGAGGAGGAGUGGGACAGGACGCUGUCCAACGUCACCAAGAGCCUCGACUGCAUCGUCGAAAUGGUCGAGCGGCUGCAGGGGCGACGGGCCCACCCUCAGGAGAUGACAUCAUCGGUGCAGCAGGAAACGACAGAGGACACAAACUCUCAGAACACUGCCUCCCCGUCUUCUUCUUCUUCUUCUUCUACCUAUUCUUGGCAGGAGCAGCUGCUGCCCCUGGUGGUCACUCUUAGGGACUGUGUGCGUGAAGCGAUGGAGAAAGCCCGGACUGCAGCAGCAUUUGUGCUCCUGCAGAGGGCAGCAUCUGCAACCGUUGACCAGGGGCCUCCUCAGCUGGUCCAGCGACGGCACGCCGUCUUCAGCCAGGCGCUCUCAGCGCUAGUUUGUGGUUUCGUGUUGAAGCUGUCUGGACAUCUGGAGGAUCCUGAGUUUCUGCAGCAGCUUCAGACUGUAGGAAUCCUGGCUCAGUUUGAAGGCCUGCUCAGCACGUACGGUGAUGAGGUGGGAAUGCUGGAGGACAUGGUGGUUGCCGUGGCUGACCUGAGUGGAGUCACGUUUACAGUCAUCGAGGCUAAAACGGAACAACCAGAUGACCUUCUGCUCAAGCUCAGUGGAUCCUGGGGCAGCUUGGUCGUCCAGGUCCCGUUGCCCCCAGAGACCUUUGGAUCACUAUCACAAGAGCUGAAAGACGGCUGUUUGAUACGCGUUCACCCUGUUCUCUUUAAUAUCGGCAUCAACCAGCAGCAGAGUCUGGCUGAAAGGUUUGGUGACAGCUCACUGCAGGAACAUGUCAACCAGCAAAGUUGCGAGCGUGUCAGAGAUUACUGUAACACCCUGAGGAACUUGCUGCCUGAAGCAGCUGGUGUCCAGUCCGUGUCAGACUUGCUGUUGUCUCUGGAUCACAGUGUAGAAUCUAGGAAGCGGAAGAACGUGGUGGUUCUGUGGCUCGCCGCAUCGGUGUGCCGCCUGGUGAACGGCAUACGUCUGACAUGCUGUAAGAGCGCCAAGGAUCGCACGUCGAUGUCGGUGACGUUGGAGCAGUGCACCAUCCUGAGAGAGCGACACAAACUCAGCUCGCAGCACUUCAACACCACGCUCGACUGCAUGAGGAGGUGCCCCUUUAACCCUCACUUCCUUUCCUCUUUCAGCUCGUUUCCUUCCCUCUCCUCCCUUUUCCUUUACCCUCUUAGCUCCCUUUCCUUUCAUAUUGUUUCCUUUCAUUCUCUGUGUAAUUGUCUAUGUUCCUCUUUAAAAUGUGUUUCCUCUUAAUCCUCUUUCAUUUCUCUGAUUUAUUUUUUCUUUUUCAUUUCAUCCUCGUUGAAUUUGUUCCUUUCUACUCUGCUCUUGUUGUUUCCAUUUUUUUCCGUGUCAUCCUCUGUUUUCCUUACUUUUUCUUUGUUUUUCUUGUUUCUUUACACUUUUACUCAUGUAAUUUUCUUUUCUUUCAGAUCAUCUCCUUCCCUUGUUUCCUUCACUGUCCAAUUCAUUUCCUAUCCUUUCUUCCUUUGUAUCCUUUUCUUUGUUGUCAUUUCCUUUCUUUACUAUUUUUUUGUGUUAUCUCUUCAUUUUUCUUUUAUUUUUUGCAGCAAAUUUCCAGAUUUAACAUCUCUUUUUCUUUUCUUUCCUGUCACCUCCUUUCUUCUGUUCCUUAUUUCCUUCAUUUUUUUCUGUUUAUCCUUUUGUACAUUGUUUUAUUUUUGUUUUUGUUGCCCCCGUCUUCUUGCUUCAUUCAUUAAAUCUUUCUUCUCGAUGUUUGGAUCUUCUUUUUUUCCAUCCACUUAUUUCCUAUUUCUCUCUCUCACUCACACACACACACACACACACACACACACACACACACAUGAACACAUGCACCCCCCAGGUCUUGUCUGUCCUGGGGGCAGAUAUUGGGAUGUUAUGCCCAGUCGGCGUCAGAGGUGGCAGAGCGACCCUCAGACCUCCACAGCUCUGCGCUCCUGCACUGUUUGGACCCUAAAGCUCCCAGACGACACUUGUACCCGGUGGCCUUCCUCCUGGUGACCUCUCACCUCCUGGUCGUGUGGCUCAUCCUCAGCCUGGUUAUAAUUCUGGGUCGAUACCAGUAGACCAGCUCAAACUGGGUGCUGCGCCCAAACAAGUGAACCCGAUAGCUGCUUGUGACGCUCGUAGUCGUAUAAAACAUUUAACACCACAACUGCAAGUUACAUUAAUGAGUAAAGUCUGACGUUACCUGCUGGAUGCAUGUUAAGAAUUGAGCCAAACAAACUCUUUUUCAGGCUUGCUACAUGCUUACUACCCAAGCGGGCCACUAGCGACAAGGCGUUACAAGCAGAGGGAUGCAGGAUGGAAAACGUGCAAAAGAACAUCGGCAGCAGAAAGUUCGCCUUCAGCGCCGUCCAGCUCCUCACGUUCCCCAAAUUGUACAGACCUCCAGAAGGCAGCUACGGCUAGACACGCUCAAAACCUCUACAGCUGCUUUCUGAAAGUUCUCUGCAAAUAUUUUUUUUAAAUCAUGAUGCUGUAUUAUUUAUGAUGUGCAUGCACAUGUAAAAUGUAACAAAGUGUCAGUGUAAAAUAUGUUAAAAGUCAAAUAAGACUGAUCUUCACUGCAGCACCAGAUGUUUUUCCUUUUUUUCUUCAAUAAAUGACUGUUUCAUGAACACAGCGCCC